CGUGCAGGCGGUGCGAUAAGUUGGAUGUGAAAGCUCCUGGCUCAACUGGGAGAGGCCGUUCAAUACUGUUGCACUAGAGGACGGCAGAGGGAGGUGGAAUUCCCGGUGUAGUGGUGAAAUGCGUAGAUAUCGGGAGGAACACCAGUGGCGAAGGCGGCCUUCUGGGCCGUACCUGACGCUCAGACGCGAAAGCUAGGGGAGCGAACGG
rnacentral:rRNA from 1 species